UACGUAGGGACCAAGCGUUGUCCGGAAUCAUUGGGCGUAAAGAGCGUGUAGGCGGCUUGUUAAGUCUUGCGUGAAAUCUCGGGGCUCAACCCCGAGCGGUCGUGAGAAACUGGCAGGCUAGAGUGCGGGAGAGGAGAGUGGAAUUCCUGGUGUAGCGGUGAAAUGCGCAGAUAUCAGGAAGAACACCCGUGGCGAAGGCGGCUCUCUGGAACGCAACUGACGCUGAGACGCGAAAGCUAGGGGAGCGAACAGG
rnacentral:rRNA from 1 species